rnacentral:miRNA from 1 species
UGGACUGUUGAGUUCCAUGAGGC